AUGUUUUCAUCUCUAGCAUGGUGGUUAGUCACAACUGAAUCUUUCAAGAGAGGAAAGAGCAGACACUAGGCACAGAACAAAGAGCAAAUGAAACAGGAACUGUGGAAUAACACUGUGUUCCCAAAGAAAACAUAACUGCCAUAGAUCACAGAAUGAAAGCCCCAGAGCACGCAGCAGAGAAGUCCAGCAACUGGAGUCAACAUUUACAGAAAACCCUGUGGGAAGACUGUGGCACUACCAACUGAUUAACAUGUUACAGAACUCAUUUUAUAUUGCAACCAGGCUGAGGAGGGCCCAUCACCUGCACAUAAAUAUUUGGACAUUGGAGACAACUUGAAGACAGCUAGCUGCAGAGUGAUAUUCCAGAAUAAGAGUUUUGAAGCUCCAGAUGACUAGCUGACCUGGGUAUUAAUGCUGGAUAUAGCAACGUCCUUCUAUGUCCUUCUAAAUUUUCUUCAUGAGUAGUGAUAAGUUAUGCUGAGAAAAAUUCUUGAACCUACAGUUAUACAACAUUGUUCUUGCCGCCUUUCAAAAAUGGACAAUGUCUCCCAUAUGGAAUAUCUACUGAUGAUCUUGCAAGAAGGUGAAUAAAAAAUCCAAUGAAGACAUAAAAGGAGUUUCAUUUAAAAAAUCUGGCAAAAUGGAAGUUUGCUUUACACAAACAGUAAAGAAGCCUUGGAAGAUAAUGUUGACUUCCCAUGCUCAAAAGUACUCUGACUCAGGGA
rnacentral:lncRNA from 1 species